AACGAACGCUGGCGGCGUGCCUAAUACAUGCAAGUCGAGCGGACCUCUUCGGAGGUUAGCGGCGGACGGGUGAGUAACACGUGGGCAACCUGCCUGUAAGACUGGGAUAACUCCGGGAAACCGGAGCUAAUACAGGAUAGUAUCUUGAACCGCAUGGUUCAAGUUGGAAAGACGGUUUCGACUGUCACUUACAGAUGGGCCCGCGGCGCAUUAGCUAGUUGGUGAGGUAAUGGCUAACCAAGGCAACGAUGCGUAGCCGACCUGAGAGGGUGGUCGGCCACACUGGGACUGAGACACGGCCCAGACUCCUACGGGAGGCAGCAGUAGGGAAUCUUCCGCAAUGGACGAAAGUCUGACGGAGCAACGCCGCGUGAGUGAUGAAGGUUUUCGGAUCGUAAAACUCUGUUGUUAGGGAAGAACAAGUGCGAGAGUAACUGCUCGCACCUUGACGGUACCUAACCAGAAAGCCACGGCUAACUACGUGCCAGCCGCCGCAGUAAUAC
rnacentral:rRNA from 1 species